rnacentral:rRNA from 1 species
GACGAACGCUGGCGGCGUGCCUAAUACAUGCAAGUCGAACGAACUCUGGUAUUGAUUGGUGCUUGCAUCAUGAUUUACAUUUGAGUGAGUGGCGAACUGGUGAGUAACACGUGGGAAACCUGCCCAGAAGCGGGGGAUAACACCUGGAAACAGAUGCUAAUACCGCAUAACAACUUGGACCGCAUGGUCCGAGUUUGAAAGAUGGCUUCGGCUAUCACUUUUGGAUGGUCCCGCGGCGUAUUAGCUAGAUGGUGGGGUAACGGCUCACCAUGGCAAUGAUACGUAGCCGACCUGAGAGGGUAAUCGGCCACAUUGGGACUGAGACACGGCCCAAACUCCUACGGGAGGCAGCAGUAGGGAAUCUUCCACAAUGGACGAAAGUCUGAUGGAGCAACGCCGCGUGAGUGAAGAAGGGUUUCGGCUCGUAAAACUCUGUUGUUAAAGAAGAACAUAUCUGAGAGUAACUGUUCAGGUAUUGACGGUAUUUAACCAGAAAGCCACGGCUAACUACGUGCCAGCAGCCGCGGUAAUACGUAGGUGGCAAGCGUUGUCCGGAUUUAUUGGGCGUAAAGCGAGCGCAGGCGGUUUUUUAAGUCUGAUGUGAAAGCCUUCGGCUCAACCGAAGAAGUGCAUCGGAAACUGGGAAACUUGAGUGCAGAAGAGGACAGUGGAACUCCAUGUGUAGCGGUGAAAUGCGUAGAUAUAUGGAAGAACACCAGUGGCGAAGGCGGCUGUCUGGUCUGUAACUGACGCUGAGGCUCGAAAGUAUGGGUAGCAAACAGGAUCAGAUACCCUGGUAGUCCAUACCGUAAACGAUGAAUGCUAAGUGUUGGAGGGUUUCCGCCCUUCAGUGCUGCAGCUAACGCAUUAAGCAUUCCGCCUGGGGAGUACGGCCGCAAGGCUGAAACUCAAAGGAAUUGACGGGGGCCCGCACAAGCGGUGGAGCAUGUGGUUUAAUUCGAAGCUACGCGAAGAACCUUACCAGGUCUUGACAUACUAUGCAAAUCUAAGAGAUUAGACGUUCCCUUCGGGGACAUGGAUACAGGUGGUGCAUGGUUGUCGUCAGCUCGUGUCGUGAGAUGUUGGGUUAAGUCCCGCAACGAGCGCAACCCUUAUUAUCAGUUGCCAGCAUUAAGUUGGGCACUCUGGUGAGACUGCCGGUGACAAACCGGAGGAAGGUGGGGAUGACGUCAAAUCAUCAUGCCCCUUAUGACCUGGGCUACACACGUGCUACAAUGGAUGGUACAACGAGUUGCGAACUCGCGAGAGUAAGCUAAUCUCUUAAAGCCAUUCUCAGUUCGGAUUGUAGGCUGCAACUCGCCUACAUGAAGUCGGAAUCGCUAGUAAUCGCGGAUCAGCAUGCCGCGGUGAAUACGUUCCCGGGCCUUGUACACACCGCCCGUCACACCAUGAGAGUUUGUAACACCCAAAGUCGGUGGGGUAACCUUUUAGGAACCAGCCGCCUAAGGUGGGACAGAUGAUUAGGGUG